rnacentral:rRNA from 1 species
CCUACGGGUGGCAGCAGUGAGGAAUAUUGGUCAAUGGACGAGAGUCUGAACCAGCCAAGUAGCGUGAAGGAUGACUGCCCUAUGGGUUGAAAACUUCUUUUAUAUGGGAAUAAAAUGUUCCACGUGUGGGUUUUUGUAUGUACCAUAUGAAUAAGGAUCGGCUAACUCCGUGCCAGCAGCCGCGGUAAUACGGAGGAUCCGAGCGUUAUCCGGAUUUAUUGGGUUUAAAGGGAGCGUAGGUGGAUUGUUAAGUCAGUUGUGAAAGUUUGCGGCUUAACCGUAAAAUUGCAGUUGAAACUGGCAGUCUUGAGUACAGUAGAGGUGAGCGGAAUUCGUGGUGUAGCGGUGAAAUGCUUAGAUAUCACGAAGAACUCCGAUGGCGAAGGCAGCUCACUGGACUGCAACUGACACUGAGGCUCGAAAGUGUGGGUAUCAAACAGGAUUAGAUACCCUUGUAGUC